rnacentral:rRNA from 16 species
UGACUGGGGCGGUCGCCUCCUAAAGAGUAACGGAGGCGCACAUUUAAGGUAAGUUCAAAUUGUUUUGAUAGCAAUUGUAGAGCGUAAUAGUAUAUUGCUUGCUUGACUGUGAGAUUGACAAAUCAAACAGGGACGAAAGUCGGUUAUAGUGAUCCGAUGAUAUUGUGUGGAAAAGUCAUCGCUCAACGAAUAAAAGGUACGCCGGGGAUAACAGGCUAAUAAUUCCUUAGAGACCCUAUCGACGGAGUUGUUUGGCACCUCGAUGUUGGAUUAUCGCAUCCUGGAGCUGCAAAAGGUUCCAAGGGUUUGACUGUUCGUCAAGAAAGGCGGUACAUGAUCUGAGUUUAGAACGUCGUGAGACAGUUUGGUCCCUAUCUACCGUAAGUGUAAAAAAUUGAGAGGAGUAAACCUUAGUACGAGAGGACCGGGAAAAGCGAAUCUCUGGUAAAUCGAUUGUUAUACCAAUAGCAUUGUCGAGUAGCUAUAUUCGUAAUAGAUAAUUGCUGAAAGCAUCUAAGCAAGAAACUAACCUCAAAACAAGUUUUUUUAGUUGUAAUAGAUUAUUACAUUGAUAGGCUUGAUGUGUAAGAGUUGUAAAAUUUUUAGCUAACAAGUAC